GACAGAGGUUGCAAACGUUGUUCGGAAUUACUGGGCCUAAAGCGCACGUAGGCGGUUCGUUAAGUCAUGUGUGAAAUCCCCCGGCUCAACCGGGGAAUUGCGCCUGAUACUGGCGGGCUAGAGAUCGAUAGGGGUGAGCGGAACUCCAGGUGGAGCGGUGAAAUGCGUAGAUAUCUGGAGGAACACCGGUGGCGAAAGCGGCUCUCUGGAACGGUACUGACGCUGAGACGCGAAAGCGUGGGGAGCGAACAGG
rnacentral:rRNA from 1 species